UUUUUGUUGUUGUUGUUGUUAUUGUUGCUAUUUCUUGGGCCGCUCCCGCGGCAUAUGGAGGUUCCCAGGCUAGGGGUUGAAUCGGAGCUGUAGCCACCGGCCUACGCCAGAGCCACAGCAACGCGGGAUCCGAGCCGCGUCUGCAACCUACACCACAGCUCACGGCAACGACGGAUCGUUAACCCACUGAGCAAGGGAAGGGAUCGAACCCGCAACCUCAUGGUUCCUAGUCGGAUUCGUUAACCACUGCGCCACGACGGGAACUCCCCCUGCAAUUUUUGACCUUUCAAGAACAUUCAGUCCAGGUCCCUCAUUUACAGAAAGGGAAACUUGCCCAGAGUCCACUGCUAAUUAGAGGUAUAAAUGAAACUCUGCAAGGGUAGGAAUUAACAAUGUUUCCAAUGUCUAUCUAGCACAAUGCCUAGCACAUAGAAGAUAUUCAAUAGAUAAUUGUUGGAUAAAUAGAUGACCUAGCAGGAGCUAAGAAUGCUCUUCUGAGUUUCCUGCCCAGUCUUUCCAGGGCACUAUAGCCAAGCCAUAAGACUAGUUUGUAGCAACACACUAAAUGGGAAAUAAGGAUGUGGGAGCCCAUGCUUGGAGAUGGGCAUCUCCAGGGCUGAGUUGAUCUCUUGACAGUUGUGGAUAUUAGGAUGAAAUUACAAUGAGAAUCUUCCAGAUGCAUCCUGGCUUAUCACUGUACUGCUAUUUUCUAACCUCUAAUUUCUAGUCAAUCACUCCAGGAGCCAGAUUCUCCUGGAUGUCUGAACCACUCCAUCUCUUCCAUGUGACCAUAGUAGUAGCAACUGCUUCUUAAGGUCACUGGAAUAAGGCAUGGCCCAGGGCACUAGAAGGAACUUAAUGAAAUGUAAACUUUCAAACUUAAACCACUUAUAACAACUUUUUUUUUAAAUUUUUGAAGAGGAAAAAGCAAGGAAUAGAGAAUGACAAAUUCCAAAGUUGAAAAUGGUUACUGAACUUUCCAGAUUUUCCCUACUAGUAGAUAUGUGAAGUUAAAACUUCUCUGAUUCGAAAUGCAAAUCAAAAUUACAAUGAGGUA
rnacentral:lncRNA from 1 species